rnacentral:rRNA from 1 species
UACGUAGGGUGCGAGCGUUAAUCGGAAUUACUGGGCGUAAAGCGUGCGCAGGCGGUUUUGUAAGCCAGAUGUGAAAUCCCCGGGCUCAACCUGGGAACUGCAUUUGUGACUGCACGGCUGGAGUGCGGCAGAGGGGGAUGGAAUUCCGCGUGUAGCAGUGAAAUGCGUAGAUAUGCGGAGGAACACCGAUGGCGAAGGCAAUCCCCUGGGCCUGCACUGACGCUCAUGCACGAAAGCGUGGGGAGCAAACAGG